AACCCGCUUGAAGAACUUCACGGGCUGAUUCUCCUUCAAACAAAACCACCACGCAUUCAGACCCGCGUAACACCCACCAUCUUCCUCCCGGUUCGACGCCGGUGCAGGAAAUCAAACACGGUGCAAGAAAACUCCAUUUCGGGACCUUCCCAAUCGUACGCCAAGAGCUAAGCAUUUGACGAACGAUUUCGACUUUUCCUUCCACAAAGAACCAAGCUCCGAGUCCAAAGUGAAAAUGGUAAAAAUGAAGGGAGAAGAAGCUUACCAGAUUCUAUGCGGAAACUAGUUGUUGUCGAGAUUUCUGCUUUAUCGUUUGUCGAUUUCGCGAUGCUGAGUCUUUGCUCUUGAUGAAUGAAGGAGGAAGAUGAUUUUUCUAUGUCGUUGUUCAAGAGUCGCGACGCAGAAGGUGACGUCGCCGAUGAACGACGAAGGAUGCGCGACUGUAACCUCCCUCCACUUGCGGUGGUUGGAGAGGGCGUUGAAGGUGUGACCUGUUGAUGGUGGAUUGAAGGUUUAUGAAUUGAACAGUUGCAGGUUCAGAGCACCUUGAAGGUUGGUUUUGGGAGGUUAUGGAAGAUGGAGAGUGGAGUUAUGCAGGUGGGGUUGUUGUUCUGUCAUGAGGGUGUUGAAAGGGGAGGAGGUUAUAGGGUUAUGAUGAGUUGUUAUCCGUUGAAGAAUUGAUGGAGGUUCUGUUAUCGGUGGCGAGAAGAAUUGAAGAGAGAUUGAAGGUGAUGGAGGAUGAAGAAGAUGGAAGAAGGUUGAAGAUGAAUGUGGCAAUGAAAAAGCCCCCGCUUCUGAACGACAAAGGAUUUUUGAAUUUGUGCAGUUCUCUCUUUGGUUUGCAGCUGUUAGCGUGUGGGAAGCAUUUAUGUUGCGUUUUCGGCCCCAGCGUGCGACAUUUGGAGCCUUUGCUGUAAUUUUGGUGCAGAAUUUUGACUUUGUCGUUGCCGGCUUUCGCGUUUGGAGUUGGCAGCUUGGCUUCUCUGUUUUGGAUGUGGCUUGUAGCUUUGAACUGUGUUCUUUCUGUGCAGUUGCGUUGAUGUUUAUGCAGGUUGUGCAUUUGCAGCUUUCUGAAGCUCUUCGAAUUGUGUUGCAGCUCAUGGCUGUGUUUGUGUUCGUAGCGACUUACGCUUGUGUUCAAUAGCUUGUGGCUUGGAAGCGUUAAGCUGGUUUGAAGUGUUGGCUCAUGCUAUAACUUUGAUGCCAGCGUUGUCGUUUUGCUUUCAUGGCUCGUUGAAGUGCUUUUGGUUUGUCUUACACUUUGCUUUGUAGCAGGCUUGGAGUUUUCGGCGCUGGCGUGCGGCAUUUGGUUGUGAUGCCUUCGGAGCUUGAAGCGAGCGUGUGGAGUUUCACUUGGUAGCAGCUUUUCUUUGGCUUUUGUGGCGGUAUCAGUUUUGGUUGUCCUUUCCGUUUUGAUUGUCGGGCUGUAGUCGCAUGCGCGUGGCGUUUAUGACAACAACCCUGGGUCUUUAUACUGGGGGCCUCGAUCUCUUCAGUCGUACCCCAGAUUUGUUGUUACCUUACAUAAUCACAAAGAAUAGAAUAUAUCAGAACUUGUAAUAUUUCAUUCAUAUUUGAGAAUUAAUCCUAUAAUCUAGGAAGGUGGUUAUGCAUACAUGUCAUAUAAUGCAAAUAAUAAAGAAAAACAUAACUAGGUGGGCUAGCCAUCGCUUAUUCUCCU